GCUUUCGUGGUGUAAUGGUCAGCAUUCUCGACGCGUAACCGAGAAGCCUGUGGUUCGAUUCCCGGCGAAAGCG
rnacentral:tRNA from 1 species